rnacentral:rRNA from 1 species
GUCUAUGAGGAGCUUAGCUUGCUAAUGGACUCAUGGCGGACGGGUGAGUAACGCGUAAAGAACUUGCCCUUUAGACUGGGAUAACAGAGGGAAACUUCUGAUAAUACUGGAUAAGUUAGUAUAUCGCAUGAUAUGCAAAUGAAAGCUACGGCACUAAAGGAGAGCUUUGCGUCCUAUUAGCUAGUUGGUAAGGUAAGAGCUUACCAAGGCGAUGAUAGGUAGCCGGCCUGAGAGGGUGGACGGCCACAAGGGGACUGAGAUACGGCCCUUACUCCUACGGGAGGCAGCAGUGGGGAAUAUUGGACAAUGGAGGGAACUCUGAUCCAGCAAUUCUGUGUGUGUGAAGAAGGUUUUAGGACUGUAAAACACUUUUAGUAGGGAAGAAAAAAAUGACGGUACCUACAGAAGAAGCAACGGCUAAAUACGUGCCAGCAGCCGCGGUAAUACGUAUGUUGCGAGCGUUAUCCGGAAUUAUUGGGCUUAAAGGGCAUCUAGGCGGUAAGACAAGUUGAAGGUGAAAACCUGUGGCUCAACCAUAGGCUUGCCUACAAAACUGUUGAACUAGAGUACUGGAAAGGUAGGUGGAACUACACGAGUAGAGGUGAAAUUCGUAGAUAUGUGUAGGAAUGCCGAUGAUGAAGAUAACUCACUGGACAGAAACUGACGCUGAAGUGCGAAAGC